GACGAACGCUGGCGGCGUGCUUAACACAUGCAAGUCGAACGGAAAGGCCCUGCUUUUGUGGGGUGCUCGAGUGGCGAACGGGUGAGUAACACGUGAGUAACCUGCCCUUGACUUUGGGAUAACUUCAGGAAACUGGGGCUAAUACCGGAUAGGAGCUCCUGCUGCAUGGUGGGGGUUGGAAAGUUUCGGCGGUUGGGGAUGGACUCGCGGCUUAUCAGCUUGUUGGUGGGGUAGUGGCUUGCCAAGGCUUUGACGGGUAGCCGGCCUGAGAGGGUGACCGGCCACAUUGGGACUGAGAUACGGCCCAGACUCCUACGGGAGGCAGCAGUGGGGAAUAUUGCACAAUGGGCGGAAGCCUGAUGCAGCAACGCCGCGUGCGGGAUGACGGCCUUCGGGUUGUAAACCGCUUUCGCCUGUGACGAAGCGUGAGUGACGGUAAUGGGUAAAGAAGCACCGGCUAACUACGUG
rnacentral:rRNA from 1 species